CGCCUGCUCCCGGCACCAUGGAUGCGGACCCAUCCACUUGAAUGAGUCUGCAAUCCAGAGCUGCGUUGCAGAAUGGAGGCACGGAAGCACUACGAAGUGCUUCCGUGGUGUUUCUGUCCGUGCCUCUGCCCCGCAAAAAA